UCGAGCGCACCGCAGUGAGCCCCGCGCCCGUCCGCUUUCUCCUCCACCCCCGUUCCCUCGUCUCCAACCCUAAAUCUUUUCCCCCUCCCCUCGUCCGCCCCGGAAUCCAAGGUGUACGGUUGAGGAGGCGAGCUUCCCGGUGACGGCGACGACGACGGCGCUGGAUUCGAUCUGCAGGAGAGAGAGAAGAUGAGAGGGAGAAGAAGGAGGAGAGGAGGGUGAAAGAGAGGAAAGAGGAGAGGGAGGUGUGGCUUCGAAUGGGAGAGGCCUGCGCCGGCGAGGUCGGGCGCGACCUGGCGAUUGGUGGCGGCUCAAUUCGCUCCUGGAUCGGGACCUAUGAGGAGGCCGGGGCUUGGGCGUGAGGCACAUAGGUUGCGCUCUGCCUCUUCCUCGAUCAACAAGAGGAGUAUGUGCAGUGCGGUGGUGUGGCGUACGGCCGCUCGUGCAGUGGCCUCAGUGGGUCGGCGACGGCACCUGCAGAGCUCGCACCGCCCUGGCGCCGAUCCAGCGCGGCUCCUGCGCGUCGCCACCCCCUCCUCCCCAUCUCAGCGGGAGGUGAAUUCGUGCCGCCGCUGCCUCUUCCGCCAAGCAGGAGGAGCACGAGAUCAGGGAUGAUGUUAAAAUAUUUUGCUAGGUCUGCCGUCAACUUUCUGUUCAAGUGUAACAAUCAUUCUUGCAUCAAGGGAUGAGAAGAAUUUUUACAGGGUGCACAUGCUUCAGAAAAUCUAUGCUGCUUACUGGAAAUCUGGAAUCAUGUUGCUCAAGACCUCUCUGCACGGUGACACCAUUCAGGCAGGCUGGAGGCAGUGCACAUGGGUGUUUCUCCUAGGCAGGCAAUGGGUUCCAUGCUGUGAAUCGCAAAUGUGUCUUUGGUUGUCUUUAGUUCACCAGAAUUGGGAUUAUUAGUUGUUAGUUAAGGGUCCUUAUGCAACUCUAAAUUCGAUCUAUUAUGUUGACAUUGAGUCUCAAUUUUAUAUUCCAGUUCAUGCCCCGGUCAAAUAUAGAGUAUGCAAUGCAUGCCUACGUCAUCUCUGGCAGAUCACCGUUCUUUUCAUUCCUCCAAUUGAAACCAUGGCUGCCAGUGCUUAGGCCGCUUGUUAUGCCCGCUUUUAUUAAUGUGAAUUUUACUUAUUUGUUUUGGUGGUUUAGGAUGAACGCCCACAGCGAUUAUUUGAUUCUUAAGGUGUGUUUUGUACUCUAAGAUGCAUCUCCUGCUUUAUGUGAUUUGGCAUGGAUGUUUGGUUCUGAUUAAUUUACAGGUUAUGGUAAUGACAUUUCUAUUAUCAUACUAAUGAUUUUCCAGGUUAAUCUAUCAUGCAUACAAAUGGAAUUUUUGGUUCCUGUUAAUUUGGGAUGUAGCCAGUCUCCUCUCUCCCUCUCUCUGAAUCUGAAUUUUUUAGCUAUGCAUUUUAACUCAUGAAGGCUGAACUAUACCUGAUUAUUUGCUGCAUGUUUCAGUGUCAGGAUUAUGUGCUAGACAUGAUGAAAUAAGAUGAGGUGUGACUUUUUUAGCCAUGCUUUUUUAGCUCAUGAAGGCAGAAGUUUAUGGAAUUUUUCAGUACCACCUUCCUGCGGCUCUGAGGAUUUUGUCUGCUGGCUUCCUCUCUGCUUGUUAUGUUUGUUGUAUUGUUUGUGCUGCUACCCUUUUCCUCUGUUACUAGAGGGGGCCUUGGGGUUAUCGUAUUGUUUGUUGCCUUCCUAUCAUAGGUUCAUUGGUAUUGGAAACCAUUCUUGCUGUAGUUAUAACUGCAAUGUCAAAUAAAUUUACAUGUCACCUUGCUUCCACUAUUAUUGCAGUUUUUACCUGCUUAUUGGUCGUGAUAGAAAGAUGGUCUUAGUUUUUUUACCGUGUCUGUUAAAGCAUGUCCACUUCCUGGCUCACUGCCAAAUUUUCUCUGUUGUAGUACAGUUGAGGGCAUGGCCUUGAUCCAGAGGAGGGUAGCAGCAGCCGCGUCCUCGAUCCGGUGUCGAGUGCUCUGGCUCCAUCCUCGCUCGCAGGCCAACAUCCACCCGCGCUGGCCCGUUGGCAACCAGGUACACGGAGAAGGUGGUGGUGCCGCCGAGGCUGUUGCUCCCGGUGCCAGAGAGGGUGUAGCUGACCGUCGCCGCCUGCUUGCUCGAGGUGGUGCAGUCUUCAUGACCAGCCAUCUCCCCAAGUGAAUCCCUUCCCUUUAAGAAAAUCUCUCUGCCUAAUUUGUUUGUUAGGAUUGCAGAACGUGAAUCUUCCUUAGUCAUCACCAAAUAGACAUGCUCUGACUAACUGAAAAACAGCAAAGUAUUGAAUGAUGCUACUCGAAUGGAGUAUGAAAUGAUUUAGUAAUCACUUGUAUGCAAAAAGAGGUGCACAAUUUGGUGUUGUGAGAAUUGAACUGGAACGGAAUUUUUAUGCCUAUGUUUUUUUUCCUGUCGAGGUAUCUCCAAUCGUAUGUAGAUCCACAGUGGAUCAAGCGGAAUUGGCACAUUUGCUAUACAGAUUGCGAAGUGCCUUGGAAUCAAGGUUUUGUCACUGCAGGUUUAUUGGUUCAGAUAGAUACAGUAUAUAUGGUACAAAGAUGUUUUCCGAAAGCAACUCUGUUAUGCUGCUCUAGAAAGCCAAAGAGAAACUAGCCGCUUGGGAUGUUGAAGGUGCAGAUAUAUGCAGAAACUACAAAACCUUUGUAGCACAUAUCGAAGAAGAAACUAAUGGAAAUGGUAUUAUCCUGCCAGCCUCUUGUGACGCUUGAUGCCCUGAUGCAGAGACGUUGAUGUCAUUCUGGACAAGUGGGCAGAUCUUAUCUUUAAGGCAAUCUGGAUAGCUUAGCAGUUGAUGGUAGACUUUUCAUCGUUGGUCUCAUGGGAGGCGCUGUAACUGAAGUGAACCUGCAGGCGAUGCUUACCCGAAGACUGACUGUAUAAGAUUGUAUCGAUCUAUCUUUAUACAACCAUGCCUCUUUCAGUUUUAUGUGUUUUUUUCCUGAUAACACAUCUUACUCUAUGAACACAAUGCUCAUAGGACUGUUGAUGCUUUUCUGUUGUUAGAAUUUCAUGCUUUGUUUUUUGGCAACUGAUUAUGCAGUGCUAUGACGUAGCUUUGUGUCUUCUAAAUUAUUUUUUACUCUCAAAUAAUUUAUUAGACAACGGAAGAGCUAAAUGCAUACUUUUGUGUAGACUUACCUCCAUUCACCUGAUUUCACGUGCAUGAUUUGAAUGCUUGGUUUGUUGUCGCCCUUUGCGCCAUCGGCGCAACGGGUGGUUAGCUGCUUUUUUAUGUGAGAAUAUCAGGAAUGUUUCUAUAUGUGCCCAGAUUUAUUUGGUUCACUUUCACUGCUCUUUGUUGAAUUAACUGAGAAAUUCUUUAUUCUUUUUAUGUUAUUUCUUUACAUGAAGGAUCCAGAUUAAAAUCUAAUGUGUUAUUCUUGCUGGCUUAGUCUAAGCAAAUGCAUCUUAGAUCACCUACUUCUCAGUUCAUGAUUUUUGAUUCAGUGUAUUGCGGUUGAUUACCGGAACACACUCACCCAAAGUGUCGAUCUGUAUCCGUACAUAAUUUACUAAAUUAAUUUUUUUGAGUUGUUUCUAUAAAUGUAAGCUGACUAUUUUGUUUCCAUAUAAAAAAAACAUGGUAUUUUGUAAAGAACACAAGUAUAACUAUGGGCCUAUGGCUCAUGUUGCUGAAUAUAGUUGAGAGAAAAUGAACAUAUUUUUAAUUCUUUCCAAUUUGUUAUUGCAAUUCACACAUAGUUCAAUUUCUUAGUCCUCGUGCAUUUUCACAGUUAGUGUCUUCUAGAACUUAGUACAAAACUUGAAUAUUUUAAGUAAUCAAAGUGAAAUUGGUAAUUAGCAUCUGCUGAGAGCACUGAACUAAAUCAUGUUCACGAAACUUAUUAUUUUUCUAACUUCUACAGGCGGCCGUGUUCUCAGCUCUUUAUUCGGAUCUUUGUAGAUGGGUGAGCAUGUUUGCUUACUGCCUUGCAGGUGUUGGAGACCUGUGGUUGCUCUUUUUAUUGAAACGAAGGGAAAUAUACGAGUAUCACGUGCGGAUGUGCCAUUCAUUUCCUACUUCACCUUGGCUAGCAGAGUUAACUGGCCAUGCAGAAAUUGUUGUGAGGGCGGAGCUUCAUGGUUGAUUCUUAAAUGGGCAUAAUCCAAGUAAGUAUUAGGUGUGAAGAAAGUUCGAGAUGUUGAAGGAUUCUCCAAGUAAGUAUUAGGUGUGAAGAAAGUUCGAGAUGUUGAAGGAUGCAAAGAAUCCUUCCCCAAUCAUUGUGUUUUAAGCAGCUCAUCGGGAUUAAGGGUACCACCAGUUUGAACCCUGACAAAUUCACCAUGCAAAUUAAUAGGAAGACACAUAUAGCCGGCAGUGUACAUGUUCCUGCAUGCAGAUACACAGACUAUAGGUUGUGCAUUUGUUGAUUUGUUUGAUCCUGUUGGGUUGUUUAUAUUGCUCACCACGUCACUACCAGGUCUAAGAACACUAGGAUGCACUUCUGUCAAGUGGCAAUUAGUAAUCAACCUUUCCUGAAGAAUUGUGCUUCUAUUCCUAUCCAAUGCUUCUUUGAGAGAAGCAGCAUAGCCAGAACUGUACGGAUGUGGCAACAGAGUUCUCAGAAGAUAUUCUCGUCUUUUGUCGACUGCUAAACCAGUAGGAACAGAUGGUCCUCUUGGCAUCAUGACAUCAUCUGACAGUAAGGGACUUGUGAACAACAUGAAAAACUUUCAGCCAUCUUUUGAUUACACGAAAAUAUGCCUUUGAUGCAUCUGUGUUAUUAUUUACCGACCGACUGUGUUUAGCAACUUCAGUGUGUAUAUCAAAAUUACUACUCCCUCCAUCCGAAAAAGCUUGUCCCUCAAAUGAAUGUAUGUAGCAUCAAGUUAGUGCUAGAUACAUCCAUUUGAGGAACAAGCUUGGCACAAACUUUUUCGGACGGAGGUAUGAUGUAAUUGGCCACUAUCACUAAGAAGUGCUCCUGGACACAAUGCUCUAUAUUAUCAUGUCUUUAGUGCAUUUUAUUGUGCCACCUGCGUAUAUAGCUACUUGAAUCUUCUAAUUGCAAACUCAAACAUUUGCAUUUUGUUCUUCGUUUCA